rnacentral:rRNA from 1 species
AACGAACGCUGGCGGCAUGCCUAACACAUGCAAGUCGAACGAGACCUUCGGGUCUAGUGGCGCACGGGUGCGUAACGCGUGGGAACCUGCCCUUAGGUUCGGAAUAACUCCCCGAAAGGGGUGCUAAUACCGGAUAAUGUCUUCGGACCAAAGAUUUAUCGCCUUUGGAUGGGCCCGCGUUGGAUUAGCUAGUUGGUAGGGUAAAAGCCUACCAAGGCGACGAUCCAUAGCUGGUCUGAGAGGAAGAUCAGCCACACUGGGACUGAGACACGGCCCAGACUCCUACGGGAGGCAGCAGUGGGGAAUAGUGGACAAUGGGCGAAAGCAUGAUCCAGCAAUGCCGCGUGAGUGAUGAAGGCCUUAGAGUUGUAAAGCUCUUUUACCCGGGAUGAUAAUGACAGUACCGGGAGAAUAAGCUCCGGCUAACUCCGUG